ACUCAAAUGAAUUGACGGGGACCCGCACAAGCGGUGGAGCGUGUGGUUUAAUUCGACACUAAGCGAAGAACCUUACCAGGGCUUGACAUCCCGGGAGCUCCCUAGAAAUAGGGAGGUGCCGCAAGGAGCCCGGUGACAGGUGCUGCAUGGUCGUCGUCAGCUCGUGUCGUGAGAUGUUGGGUUAAGUCCCGCAACGAGCGCAACCCUUGUCGUGUGUUGUAUUUUUCACGCGAGACUGCCUCGGUUAACGAGGAGGAAGGUGGGGAUGACGUCAGAUCAGCAUGGCCCUUAUGCCCUGGGCGACACACGCGCUACAAUGGCCGGUACAAUGGGUUGCAAAACCGCGAGGUUAAGCUAAUCUCAUCAAAACCGGUCCCAGUUCGGAUUGGAGUCUGCAACUCGACUCCAUGAAGCCGGAAUCGCUAGUAAACGCGGAUCAGCCACGCUGCGUUGAAUACGUUCUCGGGUCUUGCACACACCGCCCGU
rnacentral:rRNA from 1 species